CUGCCAGUGAUAAACUGGAGGAAGGUGGGGAUGACGUCAAGUCAUCAUGGCCCUUACGACCAGGGCUACACACGUGCUACAAUGGCGCAUACAAAGAGAAGCGACCUCGCGAGAGCAAGCGGACCUCAUAAAGUGCGUCGUAGUCCGGAUUGGAGUCUGCAACUCGACUCCAUGAAGUCGGAAUCGCUAGUAAUCGUGGAUCAGAAUGCCACGGUGAAUACGUUCCCGGGCCUUGUACACACCGCCCGUCACACCAUGGGAGUGGGUUGCAAAAGAA
rnacentral:rRNA from 1 species